AAACGAUUGAAGCCAGUCGUACUGACGGGUAAUCAACCUUUCGGGUGCGAUUCUGCGGGUUUUGAGGAGCUUCACGGCCCUCAUGGUCUGCAUAUUUGUGCCAUUUGGGUGUACUUACCUGGUAGUAGGUUAACAUCAAUUUCGGACGUCAUAAAAUGAUGGGAGGAAUGUAGCUUCGGUCUCGUACUGAAGUGUUAUAGCCUCUGGUAGAUGUGAUGAUCGGGAUUGAGGAUUGCAACGAAUACCUUUUAGGCUACCCGCCUGAUCUCUGAUGGUUGCUAUGGUGCCGAAAGCUUGCUUACGGUUAUCAGAGUUUGAUUGUCAAAAGGUUAGAACGGGUUAAAUUCGUUAAGGAUGUUGACGUAAUGGCUUUAAACGA
rnacentral:rRNA from 1 species